CCUCCUGGGAAUUCCUCGUGUUGCACCCUU
rnacentral:rRNA from 1 species